AGGAAGGGCAAAUCAAGUGCUUCCCACAUAAGGUCAAGUUAAAGGAAUUCAUCAUCACCAAUCACGUAUAUGAAAUGUUCAAGGGAUUUAAUCUAAAAAAAAGAGGAUGAUCAAAAAUAUGAAUAGUGAAAUGUCAGCAAACUCACAGUUAUUAACAACCAUACCUAAAACAAAAGCAAACUAAG